UACAGAGGUCCCAAGCGUUGUUCGGAUUCAUUGGGCGUAAAGGGUGCGUAGGCGGCCAGGUAGGUCUGCUGUGAAAACUCGAGGCUCAACCUCGAGACGCCGAUGGAAACCAUCAGACUAGAGUCCGGAAGAGGAGAGUGGAAUUCCUGGUGUAGCGGUGAAAUGCGCAGAUAUCAGGAAGAACACCCGUGGCUAAGGCGGCUCUCUAGUACGGUACUGACGCUGAGACGCGAAAGCGUGGGGAGCGAACAGG
rnacentral:rRNA from 1 species